GAGCUGCUUCCGCUUGAGCGUGUCUUUCCUUGGAGUAAAUCACAAGAGGCAAUACAAGUUUAACUUUGCUGAUGCUCUGUUUCUCCAGUUUAUUAUUUUUGUUCUUUCUCUCUCUAUUGAUUUUGUGGUUUUGCUCUUUUCUGUUUCCUGCAUGGUCAAUAAAGUCAUUCCCCAGUGGGGGCAGCAAUGGUUGGGAAUUGGGUUUCAUGGUUUGGCCAUCGGUAAUCUCUGUCAAAUGGAUGAUGGAAAUCUAGGCUCUGCAGGGUGAGCGAUAACAGAAUUUGGUUCGUUCAUCUUUUUCUGUUUGCCUAUGUGUGGACUCAAAUAAACUGAAAAGUAUUUUGUGAACACCGGGAAGGGCAACAGCUUUUGAGAUCGAAACUGGUCAAAAUAUGAGAGCAAUGACUCAUGAAAACAACCCUCACCUCCCCGUCUCUCCAUGAUGUUCCUACCCAACUGUCUGCCUUCUCUUAGAGUCAGCCUUCUGCAAGCCUGUGAAAUAAAGAAGGACGCAGUGAGAAACUGGAACUAUCCCCAAAUCCAUCUAUCUGAACACUAGGCUGCUCAAUUUACCUUCAUCAGAAUAAAUAUCCUUUUUCAGCAUGACAGAUUUACAUCUUUUCUGGGAAAAUAUUGACUAAAGGUAUCAGUGACAACAACAGCCAGGAGAAUUAUGUCCAGAACAAGGGAAGAACAAAGAUGGUUUGAUGCAGUGUAGCAGUUCAGAGACAGAAUCCUGGAGGAGGAAUCCAGGAAGAGCACAUGGGCUGAAGAUUAGUACCAUCAGGUGAACCCUUAAGUGAAUACACUGACCCUGUCUACAAGCUGCAAAUGUGUGAAUUCACGUCAGCCCAGAAAGAAGUCUACAGGCUGAGGCACCAAAGAUGAAGGAUGGAGAAUCUCCUUGAGGACAGAGACCUUGCUUCCCUUAUUGACUGCACUUAACUGGGUUCUGGCAUAUUAGGCACACAAGAAAUAUUUGUUGAAUUAAUGGAUAGAUGAAAGAACAAAUGAAAACAUGGGAUCUCAGAAAGAACAAGCAAACUGAGCUCACAAAACUUUGUAAGUGGUAGAGGUUGACGCACACUCAGGUCACUGCCUUGGCUCUCCUCAGAGAGUUGAACAAUCUGCCUGUGAUUGCCCCUGAUUUCCAGACACUGUAUCAGAUGUAUGGGUGGUAAUAUGCAUUCUCAUGCCUAAAGACCACUGAGCAUCUGGUAAAUGACAUUGGGUAAAUCUGAGAUAAUUAUUUUUACAGGUUCUUAUCUUUUCUAAGUGUAUGAUUUUUAUCUGUAUUUUAGGAUGUUUGUGUCAUACCAGUUGCUUCCAAUAUUUUAAAGGGAUACUAUUUUAUAAUAGCCUUUAUUUUAUGAUUAUAAAAAUAAUACAUGGGUGACAGAAUGAAAUUAUGUAGAUUUGGGUUUGAAUUCUGAAUCUUCUGUAGAUCAGGGAGUGAGUUUAGGCAAAAUACCUAAUGGAGAUAGUACUUCCUAUGUAGAUUCUUUUUUUUCCUUUUGGUCAGAAUUAAAUGAGAUAAUAUACACAAUUUUCUUGGCAUACUGGCAUGUACAUUAUAGGUAUUCAACACAUAUUGAACCAUUAAUGAUAAAACACUAACAGCACAUGUUCAUUAUAGAAAACGUAGAAAACAGAAAAAUACUGAAAACAAUGAAACUUCACAAUCACAUCCUGAAAAAUGCCGUGUAAAGGUGUGGAGGGACACGAAGAAGAGAACCAUGUGAACACGGACAGAGCCUGGUCUGGGCCGCUGCCAGCCAAGGAACACCAAGGACUGCCAGGAGCCCCCAAAGCCAGGGAGUGACAAAUGAGGAUCCUUCCCUGGAGCCUUCAGUACUGCCUACCACAGUUGAAAAUGGAGAGACGGGGUGUCCAUAUAGCUCAGAGGGACUUGUGGACACAUGCAUUUCAUCUUUGGUUGAGUUUGCUCACAAGAAGAUACUGGAACAAGAAUUUGUGAGCAAGGAGUUUCUCAGGAGAUGAUCCAAGGGAGUAGGGGCAAGAGACAGAGGGAAGGAAACAAAUGCAGGAAAGACUCACCCUACAAGAAUAUGCAGUUCUCCACUCAGAGAGUCUUUUGGGUAUUGCAAAUGUUGCAACAAAUUCAAGUCAUACAGGAGAGAAAAGUUCAGUAUCACCUCGAACCAUAGCAGAUGGCAACAGAAUACCUGCCCAGGGAACCUGGCUUCCAUUCCAGAGCAACAUGAUCAUCAAGGUGUGAUGAAUCAUUGCCACCGUCUGUGUUACAAAGAGGUAAUUUUUCUGGAACCAAAAUUGCAGUCUGGCAAAUGAGCUCUUAGCAGAGCAACAAGUCAUCGCUCAUCUGAGGCUAUAGAGAGCGCUUGAGAAGGAAAUUAUUAGUGCAAAUGAUUUGCCAGAAACAGAGUGGAAUCUUAUUAAAGACCAGAGAAAAUAGUCAAUUGGUAAUGAGACGCAAAAUAAGCAGUCAGCCAUAGGAAGAGGGGAAAAUAGUAUCUCCAGAGGUUAAACUGCAGGAUGUUUCUUAUUCUGUUUUAUUUUUUAGGAAGCAAUUAUUAACCGUCUCUAUAAAAUUUCUCAGAUGGCAUCCAGGGUUGCUGUGUGAGUGAUGACUCAGAGUUGUGAAAUGUAGUUGUCAAAUGACUUUCUGAGAUGAUAUUGCUGAUGAUUUUGGUGAUAAAUGAAGAAAAGUCAAUUUUCCUGGUGCUGCCCUCCAACUCUUGAGUCUCCAAGUUCUUAGGUUCUUAUAUUUUCUUCAUUCACUGUAAACUUGAAAUUGUGGGAUUGUUUCUUGAGAAGGUUUACCAGCUCUGGGAUAGAUUUGACAGAUACUUUCAGAAGGCCCAUGAAUAUCUUUUUGCUGUUGUUGCUGUGGGUAUAUAUAUUUUUGAAAUGUAGUUGAUAUACAAUAUUAUAUUGGCUUCAAGUAUACAACACAGUUAUUCAGUUACAUACAUUAUUCAGUUAUUGGCAUUAUUAAAUCCUCACCCCACCUAACGUAGUUACUUUUCAACAUAGAAAUACAUUAAAAAACUAAUGACUAUAUUCUCUACAGUAUACUUUCAUCCCUGUGACUAAUUUAUAUUAUGACUGAGAUUUUGUAACUUUUUAU